GACGAACGCUGGCGGCGUGCUUAACACAUGCAAGUCGAACGGAAAGGCCUGCUUUCCCUUGUGGUUUGCGGGUACUCGAGUGGCGAACGGGUGAGUAACACGUGAGUGAUCUGCCCCCAACUUGGGUAUAAGCCUGGGAAACUGGGUCUAAUUCCCGAUAGGACUGCAGGGUGGUGCCUGUGGUGGAAAACGAUUUUCUAGUGGUUGGGGAUGAGCUCGCGGCCUAUCAGCUUGUUGGUGGGGUAAUGGCCUACCAAGGCGGGGACGGGUAGCCUGCCUGGGAGGGUGGACGGGCACAUUGGGACUGAGAUACGGCCCAGACUCCUACGGGAGGCAGCAGUGGGGAAUAUUGCACCAUGGGCGGAAGCCUGAUGCAGCGACGCCGCGUGGGGGAUGACGGCCUUCGGGUGGUAAACUCCUUUCGACCGCGAGGAAGCCACCUGGUUGGAAGGGUGGUGACGGUAGUGGUAGAAGAAGCACCGGCUAACUACGUG
rnacentral:rRNA from 1 species